rnacentral:rRNA from 1 species
AUUGAACGCUGGCGGCAUGCCUAACACAUGCAAGUCGAACGGCAGCACAGCAGUAGCAAUACUGUGGGUGGCGAGUGGCGGACGGGUGAGGAAUACGUCGGAAUCUGCCCAGUCGUGGGGGAUAACUAGCCGAAAGGUUAGCUAAUACCGCAUACGACCGAGAGGUGAAAGCGGGGGACCGCAAGGGCCUCGCGCGAUUGGAUGAGCCGACGUCGGAUUAGCUAGUUGGCGGGUAAAGCCCACAAGGCGACGAUCCGUAGCUGGUCUGAGAGGAUGAUCAGCCACACUGGAACUGAGACACGGUCCAGACUCCUACGGGAGCAGCAGUGGGAAUAUUGGACAAUGGGCGAAAGCCUGAUCCAGCCAUUCCGCGUGCAGGA